rnacentral:misc_RNA from 1 species
GAUGAAGAACGCAGCAAAAUGCGAUAAGUAAUGUGAAUUGCAGAAUUCAGUGAAUCAUCGAGUCUUUGAACGCACAUUGCGCCCCCUGGUAUUCCGGGGGGCAUGCCUGUCCGAGCGUCAUUGCUGCCCUCAAGCACGGCUUGUGUGUUGGGCCCCCGUCCCCGGUUUCCCCCGGGGACGGGCCCGAAAGGCAGCGGCGGCACCGCGUCCGGUCCUCGAGCGUAUGGGGCUUUGUCACCCGCUCUGUAGGCCCGGCCGGCGCCAGCCGACACCCAACUUUAUUUCUAAGGUUGACCUCGGAUCAGGUAGGGAUACCCGCUGAACUUAAGCAUAUCAAUAAGCGGAGGA